GUUAUCCUGUAAAUCUGACAUAUUUCUGUGAAGUACUCCAGUUUAGGAACCAUGGUUGAGUAAGGAGAGUGGAAAAAAUAUUUAGAUAGUGUUUUCAUAGAGAUGUGCUCACCACAAAGCAUGACAAUUGCCCUAAUUUUAACACUGUCAUUAUAGGCCUUGUAUUAAACAUCUGAAAAUAUUUCAUUGGAUUCUUGUAGCAAUCCUGGGAGAACUUUGGGCAGGAGUCUACUACAAACUCAAAUGGAAAGCAAAAGGAAAAGUCAAAGUAACACUCAUGCUGUGGGUGGUAAGUUCAAAAUUCCUUCUUUUACAAGAGCCUGGUGUUCUUGAGACCUGGCCCAGUUAUUGUUCUUUUGUUUUCCAGAGGGAGACUGUUAUAUGCAAUAGUGAAUAGUCUGAUAUAUCAGAGUCAAAACUUGAAGUUCUCUAAAAUUGUGUGCUUUUCACAGUAUAUUCAUAUGCAUUAUUCUCUUUCAUUCUCCCAACAGCCUUUGGAGAAAGGAAAGGCAUGUAUUAUCAUUACCACUUGACAUAUGAAGAAACUGAGGCACAGAACCAUUAAAGAUACUUAUAGAAUAACCCAGAGGAAGUUAGUGGCAUAGCCCUUUUCUCCUUGAACAGCUUAUGGGUCAGUUCCUCCAUUAAAAUGUAUCAGAAUGACCUAAGAAGCAAAAG
rnacentral:lncRNA from 1 species